AAUCAACGCUGGCGGCGUGCCUAACACAUGCAAGUCGAACGCGAGGACCUCGCAAGAGGUUAGUAGAGUGGCAAACGGGUGAGUAACACGUGGGUGACCUGCCUUAGAGUGGGGGAUAACGUCCCGAAAGGGACGCUAAUACCGCAUAACAUCCUGCCUUUGAAGAGGUGGAGAUCAAAGCUGGGGACCGCAAGGCCUAGCGCUUAAAGAGGGGCCCGCGUCUGAUUAGCAGUUGGUGGGGUAAGUGGCUCACCAAGGCAACGAUCAGUAUCCGGCCUGAGAGGGCGGACGGACACACUGGGACUGAGACACGGCCCAGACUCCUACGGGAGGCAGCAGUGGGGAAUUGUUCGCAAUGGGCGCAAGCCUGACGA
rnacentral:rRNA from 1 species